rnacentral:rRNA from 1 species
CACUCCUACGGGAGGCAGCAGUGGGGAAUAUUGCACAAUGGGCGCAAGCCUGAUGCAGCCAUGCCGCGUGUAUGAAGAAGGCCUUCGGGUUGUAAAGUACUUUCAGCGGGGAGGAAGGCGAUAAGGUUAAUAACCUUGUCGAUUGACGUUACCCGCAGAAGAAGCACCGGCUAACUCCGUGCCAGCAGCCGCGGUAAUACGGAGGGUGCAAGCGUUAAUCGGAAUUACUGGGCGUAAAGCGCACGCAGGCGGUCUGUCAAGUCGGAUGUGAAAUCCCCGGGCUCAACCUGGGAACUGCAUUCGAAACUGGCAGGCUAGAGUCUUGUAGAGGGGGGUAGAAUUCCAGGUGUAGCGGUGAAAUGCGUAGAGAUCUGGAGGAAUACCGGUGGCGAAGGCGGCCCCCUGGACAAAGACUGACGCUCAGGUGCGAAAGCGUGGGGAGCAAACAGGAUUAGAAACCCGUGUAGUCUCAU